CCUACGGGUGACAGCAGUGGGGAAUAUUGCACAAUGGGGGAAACCCUGAUGCAGCGACGUCGCGUGAGUGAAGACGUAUUUCGGUAUGUAAAGCUCUAUCAGCAGGGAAGCAAAUGACGGUACCUGACUCAGAAGCCCCGGCUAACUACGUGCCAGCAGCCGCGGUAAUACGUAGGGGGCAAGCGUUAUCCGGAUUUACUGGGUGUAAAGGGGGCGUAGACGGCGGAACAAGUCAGAAGUGAAAACCCCGGGCUCAAACCUGGGAGUGCUUUUGAAAAUGUUUGGCUGGAGUGCAGGAGAGGUAAGCGGAAUGCCUAGUGUAGCGGUGAAAUGCGUAGAUAUUAGGAAGAACACCAGUGGCGAAGGCGGCUUACUGGACUGUAACUGACGUUGAAGCUCGAAAGCGUGGGGAGCAAACAGGAUUAGAUACCCCUGUAGUC
rnacentral:rRNA from 1 species